rnacentral:tRNA from 1 species
GCGGGCAUAGUUUAGAGGCAAAACCCAUGCCUUCCAAGCAUGUGUCGUCGGUUCGAUUCCGUCUGCCCGCACCA